UAACGCGGUAUCCAACCGUUACCCAUCACUCAGGGAUAGCCCGCCGAAAGGGACGAAUUAAGUACCUGAUGGUCUCCUUCGCGGACAUCUAACGAGGAGUAAAGAUUUAUUGGUGAUGGAUGGGGAUGCGUCUGAUUAGGUAGUAGGCGGGGUAACGGCCCACCUAGCCGACGAUCAGUAGGGUUCUGAGAGGAAGGUCCCCCACAUUGGAACUGAGACACGGUCCAAACUCCUACGGGAGGCAGGCAGUGAGGAAUAGUUGGUCAAUGGACGGAAGUCUGAACCAGCCAAGUAGCGUGACCAGGAUGGACGGCCCUAUGGGUUGUAAACUGCUUUUGUGCGGGAAUAAAGUAUGGGACGUGUCCCAUUUUGCAUGUACCGCACGAAUAAGGACCGGCUAAUUCCGUGCCAGCCGCUGC
rnacentral:rRNA from 1 species